GAAACAUUUUUGUUUUUCUAAACAUGAUUUCACUCUCAUUCUAUCAACAGUUCUAUUUACUCAUUAUCUUGCAGGCUUCAAGAUAUAUGCCUGAUAUUUGUGUAAUUAGAGCUAUACAAAAAAUUAUCUGGGCAUCAGGAUGUGGGUCGCUACAGCUAGUAUUUAGCCCAAAUGAAGAAAUCACUAAAAUUUAUGAGAAGACCAAUGCAGGCAAUGAGCCGGACUUGGAAGACGAACAGGUUUGCUGUGAAGCAUUGGAAGUGAUGACCUUGUGUUUUGCCUUGAUUCCAACAGCCUUAGAUGCUCUUAGUAAAGAAAAGGCUUGGCAGACAUUCAUCAUUGACUUACUGUUGCACUGUCACAGCAAAACUGUUCGUCAGGUGGCACAGGAGCAGUUCUUUUUAAUGUGCACCAGAUGUUGCAUGGGACACCGGCCUCUACUUUUCUUCAUUACUCUACUCUUUACUGUUUUGGGGAGCACAGCAAGAGAGAGAGCUAAACAUUCAGGCGACUACUUUACUCUUUUAAGACACCUUCUUAAUUAUGCUUACAAUAGUAAUAUUAAUGUACCCAAUGCUGAAGUUCUUCUCAAUAAUGAAAUUGAUUGGCUUAAAAGAAUUAGGGUAAGUUGCAGAUAAUACUCCAUUUAUAUGUCAUUAUUAAUAAAUAGAAUGUUUUAUUGAUGGUUUAUAUUUUUUGAGCAUUUUGGUUAAAUGGAAAACUCCAAAGAUUGAUAAAAGGGACCAAAGAAUAUACUCUGCAUUGGUGGACAUUAGGAACCUGCGAUUCACAAAAAUGAAUGCAUAUCUAGUUUUGUAAAAUGAAUUGCUUACUUGAGACUUGAAAUACUGAUGUUCAGCUUCUUUUAUUUUAGCAUUUUGGGCCUUUUUGCAAAUUCUCAUUUUAAAAAAAAGUAUUCUUGAAUUGUUUAUGUCAAAAAUAAGU
rnacentral:lncRNA from 1 species